ACCUACGGGAGGCAGCAGUGAGGAAUAUUGGUCAAUGGGCUUACGCCUGAACCAGCCAAGUCGCGUGAGGGAAGACUGCCCUAUGGGUUGUAAACCUCUUUUGUCAGGGAGCAACGCCGGCUACGUGUAGCCGGACUGAGAGUACCUGAAGAAAAAGCAUCGGCUAACUCCGUGCCAGCAGCCGCGGUAAUACGGAGGAUGCGAGCGUUAUCCGGAUUUAUUGGGUUUAAAGGGUGCGUAGGCGGGCUGUUAAGUCAGCGGUCAAAUGUCGGGGCUCAACCCCGGCCUGCCGUUGAAACUGGCGG
rnacentral:rRNA from 1 species